rnacentral:rRNA from 1 species
GAUGAACGCUGGCGGCGUGCCUAAUACAUGCAAGUCGAGCGAACAGACGAGGAGCUUGCUCCUCUGACGUUAGCGGCGGACGGGUGAGUAACACGUGGAUAACCUACCUAUAAUACUGGUAUAACUUCGGGACACCGGAGCUAAUACCGGAUAAUAUAUUGAACCGCAUGGUUCAAUAGUGAAAGACGGUUUUGCUGUCACUUAUAGAUGGAUCCGCGCUGCAUUAGCUAGUUGGUAAGGUAACGGCUUACCAAGGCGACGAUGCGUAGCCGAACUGCGAGGGGGGUCGGCCACACUGGAACUGAGCCACGGUCCAGACUCCUACGGGAGGCAGCAGUAGGGAAUGUUCCGCAAUGGGCGAAAGCCUGACGGAGCAACGCCGAGUGAGUGAUGAAGGUCUUCGGAUCGUAAAACUCUGUUAUUAGGGAAGAACCAAUGUGUAAGUAACUAUGCACGUCUUGACGGUACCUAAUCAGAAAGCCACGGCUAACUACGUG